GGGUUGUGAGGUUAAGCGACUAAGCGUACACGGUGGAUGCCCUGGCAGUCAGAGGCGAUGAAGGACGUGCUAAUCUGCGAUAAGCGUCGGUAAGGUGAUAUGAACCGUUAUAACCGGCGAUUUCCGAAUGGGGAAACCCAGUGUGAUUCGUCACACUAUCAUUAACUGAAUCCAUAGGUUAAUGAGGCGAACCGGGGGAACUGAAACAUCUAAGUACCCCGAGGAAAAGAAAUCAACCGAGAUUCCCCCAGUAGCGGCGAGCGAACGGGAGCAGCCCAGAGCCUGAAUCAGUGUGUGUGUUAGUGGAAGCGUCUGGAAAGGCGUGCGAUACAGGGUGACAGCCCCGUACACAAAAAUGCACAUACUGUGAGCUCGAUGAGUAGGGCGGGACACGUGGUAUCCUGUCUGAAUAUGGGGGGACCAUCCUCCAAGGCUAAAUACUCCUGACUGACCGAUAGUGAACCAGUACCGUGAGGGAAAGGCGAAAAGAACCCCGGCGAGGGAGUGAAAAAGAACCUGAAACCGUGUACGUACAAGCAGUGGGAGCACGCUUAGGCGUGUGACUGCGUACCUUUUGUAUAAUGGGUCAGCGACUUAUAUUCUGUAGCAAGGUUAACCGAAUAGGGGAGCCGAAGGGAAACCGAGUCUUAACUGGGCGUUAAGUUGCAGGGUAUAGACCCGAAACCCGGUGAUCUAGCCAUGGGCAGGUUGAAGGUUGGGUAACACUAACUGGAGGACCGAACCGACUAAUGUUGAAAAAUUAGCGGAUGACUUGUGGCUGGGGGUGAAAGGCCAAUCAAACCGGGAGAUAGCUGGUUCUCCCCGAAAGCUAUUUAGGUAGCGCCUCGUGAAUUCAUCUCCGGGGGUAGAGCACUGUUUCGGCAAGGGGGUCAUCCCGACUUACCAACCCGAUGCAAACUGCGAAUACCGGAGAAUGUUAUCACGGGAGACACACGGCGGGUGCUAACGUCCGUCGUGAAGAGGGAAACAACCCAGACCGCCAGCUAAGGUCCCAAAGUCAUGGUUAAGUGGGAAACGAUGUGGGAAGGCCCAGACAGCCAGGAUGUUGGCUUAGAAGCAGCCAUCAUUUAAAGAAAGCGUAAUAGCUCACUGGUCGAGUCGGCCUGCGCGGAAGAUGUAACGGGGCUAAACCAUGCACCGAAGCUGCGGCAGCGACGCUUAUGCGUUGUUGGGUAGGGGAGCGUUCUGUAAGCCUGUGAAGGUGUGCUGUGAGGUAUGCUGGAGGUAUCAGAAGUGCGAAUGCUGACAUAAGUAACGAUAAAGCGGGUGAAAAGCCCGCUCGCCGGAAGACCAAGGGUUCCUGUCCAACGUUAAUCGGGGCAGGGUGAGUCGACCCCUAAGGCGAGGCCGAAAGGCGUAGUCGAUGGGAAACAGGUUAAUAUUCCUGUACUUGGUGUUACUGCGAAGGGGGGACGGAGAAGGCUAUGUUGGCCGGGCGACGGUUGUCCCGGUUUAAGCGUGUAGGCUGGUUUUCCAGGCAAAUCCGGAAAAUCAAGGCCGAGGCGUGAUGACGAGGCACUACGGUGCUGAAGCAACAAAUGCCCUGCUUCCAGGAAAAGCCUCUAAGCAUCAGGUAACAUCAAAUCGUACCCCAAACCGACACAGGUGGUCAGGUAGAGAAUACCAAGGCGCUUGAGAGAACUCGGGUGAAGGAACUAGGCAAAAUGGUGCCGUAACUUCGGGAGAAGGCACGCUGAUACGUAGGUGAAGCGACUUGCUCGUGGAGCUGAAAUCAGUCGAAGAUACCAGCUGGCUGCAACUGUUUAUUAAAAACACAGCACUGUGCAAACACGAAAGUGGACGUAUACGGUGUGACGCCUGCCCGGUGCCGGAAGGUUAAUUGAUGGGGUUAGCGCAAGCGAAGCUCUUGAUCGAAGCCCCGGUAAACGGCGGCCGUAACUAUAACGGUCCUAAGGUAGCGAAAUUCCUUGUCGGGUAAGUUCCGACCUGCACGAAUGGCGUAAUGAUGGCCAGGCUGUCUCCACCCGAGACUCAGUGAAAUUGAACUCGCUGUGAAGAUGCAGUGUACCCGCGGCAAGACGGAAAGACCCCGUGAACCUUUACUAUAGCUUGACACUGAACAUUGAGCCUUGAUGUGUAGGAUAGGUGGGAGGCUUUGAAGUGUGGACGCCAGUCUGCAUGGAGCCGACCUUGAAAUACCACCCUUUAAUGUUUGAUGUUCUAACGUGGACCCGUGAUCCGGGUUGCGGACAGUGUCUGGUGGGUAGUUUGACUGGGGCGGUCUCCUCCUAAAGAGUAACGGAGGAGCACGAAGGUUGGCUAAUCCUGGUCGGACAUCAGGAGGUUAGUGCAAUGGCAUAAGCCAGCUUGACUGCGAGCGUGACGGCGCGAGCAGGUGCGAAAGCAGGUCAUAGUGAUCCGGUGGUUCUGAAUGGAAGGGCCAUCGCUCAACGGAUAAAAGGUACUCCGGGAUAACAGGCUGAUACCGCCCAAGAGUUCAUAUCGACGGCGGUGUUUGGCACCUCGAUGUCGGCUCAUCACAUCCUGGGGCUGAAGUAGGUCCCAAGGGUAUGGCUGUUCGCCAUUUAAAGUGGUACGCGAGCUGGGUUUAGAACGUCGUGAGACAGUUCGGUCCCUAUCUGCCGUGGGCGCUGGAGAACUGAGGGGGGCUGCUCCUAGUACGAGAGGACCGGAGUGGACGCAUCACUGGUGUUCGGGUUGUCAUGCCAAUGGCACUGCCCGGUAGCUAAAUGCGGAAGAGAUAAGUGCUGAAAGCAUCUAAGCACGAAACUUGCCCCGAGAUGAGUUCUCCCUGACCCUUUAAGGGUCCUGAAGGAACGUUGAAGACGACGACGUUGAUAGGCCGGGUGUGUAAGCGCAGCGAUGCGUUGAGCUAACCGGUACUAAUGAACCGUGAGGCUUAACCUUACAACGCCGAAG
rnacentral:rRNA from 1 species